UACGGAAGGCAGCAGUAGGGAAUCUUCCGCAAUGGACGAAAGUCUGACGGAGCAACGCCGCGUGAACGAUGAAGGCUUUCGGGUCGUAAAGUUCUGUUGUUAGGGAAGAACAAGUACCAGAGUAACUGCUGGUACCUUGACGGUACCUAACCAGAAAGCCACGGCUAACUACGUGCCAGCAGCCGCGGUAAUACGUAGGUGGCAAGCGUUGUCCGGAAUUAUUGGGCGUAAAGCGCGCGCAGGUGGUUCCUUAAGUCUGAUGUGAAAGCCUACGGCUCAACCGUGGAGGGUCAUUGGAAACUGGGGGACUUGAGUGCAGAAGAGGAAAGUGGAAUUCCACGUGUAGCGGUGAAAUGCGUAGAGAUGUGGAGGAACACCAGUGGCGAAGGCGACUUUUCUGGUCUGUAACUGACACUGAGGCGCGAAAGCGUGGGGAGCGAACAGGGAUUAGAUACC
rnacentral:rRNA from 1 species